GACGAACGCUGGCGGCGUGCCUAAUACAUGCGAGUUGAGCGCUGAAGGUUGGUACUUGUACCAACUGGAUGAGCAGCGAACGGGUGAGUAACGCGUGGGGAAUCUGCCUUUGAGCGGGGGACAACAUUUGGAAACGAAUGCUAAUACCGCAUAAAAACUUUAAACACAAGUUUUAAGUUUGAAAGAUGCAAUUGCAUCACUCAAAGAUGAUCCCGCGUUGUAUUAGCUAGUUGGUGAGGUAAAGGCUCACCAAGGCGAUGAUACAUAGCCGACCUGAGAGGGUGAUCGGCCACAUUGGGACUGAGACACGGCCCAAACUCCUACGGGAGGCAGCAGUAGGGAAUCUUCGGCAAGGGACGAAAGUCUGACCGAGCAACGCCGCGUGAGUGAAGAAGGGUUUCGGAUCGUAAAACUCUGUUGGUAGAGAAGAACGUUGGUGAGAGUGGAAAGCUCAUCAAGUGACGGUAACUACCCAGAAAGGGACGGCUAACUACGUG
rnacentral:rRNA from 1 species